GUGUGCGAUGAAGAUGUGGCUAUAAAGUUCAUCACUCUGGAAGCGGAUUCUCAGAGGGCCAAGGUGACUCUAUGGAGAGAGUCAGAAACAUCAGAUGUGAGGCCGGGUGACUUCAUGACGAUCACGGAUGUGGUGACUUUAAACCACUAUACGGGGAAACCAUCCCUUUCCACCACAAACAGAUCAACACUGAAGAUAUAAAAACCUGCUGACAGAAGAUGAGAUGAGCAAAAGAGUACGGGAAUCACGCGCUUCUUAGCUAGGUACAAAAAGGAAGGAAAAUCUUGAGAAGAUAGUCACUUGUGGUGAAUUCUCAGACUGUUUUAUUACGACUCUGAGAAAAAACAGCAAAGCAGUCAAUUGAAGACAACAUGUUCCCCACAUUCAAAGGAGUGCGGCACGAUCAUCCUGCUCAAUAGGAAAGCAAAUGUUCAUUGUCUUCUUUGAUGUGCCCGGUGUUAUUCUACUCCAUGCCUCUCCGCAUCUGUGACUGGUGCUUACAAUUCAAAUGUUUUGUGGCGUGACUUGUACAGGGUGAUGGCAUUAAAGAGACCAAAGGCGUUGCAUGAUAGGUGGAUUCUCUACCAGGAUAAUGCACCAGCACAUAGAUCAUAAGAGGCCCAGACUACCGCGACAAUCAACUUGAAGCGGAGAUCCUUCCCCGUCCCCUUAUUCGCUGGACCUAGCACCAUGCGAUU